rnacentral:rRNA from 1 species
CCUACGGGAGGCUGCAGUGGGGAAUAUUGGACAAUGGGGGCAACCCUGAUCCAGCCAUGCCGCGUGUGUGAAGAAGGCCCUCGGGUUGUAAAGCACUUUCAGUGAGGAAGAACGCCUGGUGGUUAAUACCCAUCAGGAAAGACAUUACUCACAGAAGAAGCACCGGCUAACUCCGUGCCAGCAGCCGCGGUAAUACGGAGGGUGCGAGCGUUAAUCGGAAUUACUGGGCGUAAAGCGCGCGUAGGUGGCUUGAUAAGCCGGUUGUGAAAGCCCCGGGCUCAACCUGGGAACGGCAUUCCGGUGGUCACGCGACAGGGGAAGAGAGGGGGGGUAAUAACGCGGUGUAGGGGUGCAUUGCGUACAGACAGUGAGGCGGACCAGUGGAGGCGGGGGCCAACUAGACCGACAUUGACCCUGGGGUGCCAACCCGUGGCUAGCACUCCGGACUAGAACGCCAAGGGGGA